GUUCAGGUGAUAGAGUCAGAUUUAUUGGUUCUACUUCUGCACUUGACUCGACUCCCAUCAGGUUGUAAUCAGAGAAAGCAGAAAUUCCCCAGUCAUAUUGUUCAUGAAAGAUGCUGAGAAGAAUACAGCCGGAAAUUCAGUGUCAUAUUCAAUGUACAAAAGUUGGCUUCAGAAGAUUCCAGAUAAUAUUGUGAUCAUUGGGUCUCACAUUCAUUCAGAUGAUCAUAAGGAAGAGUCACAGCCUAAAGGAUCUCUCUUCACCAAAUUGGGCAACAUUUUAUAUGAGCUCGCCUUCCCGGUAUAAGCUCUUCAGUUUUUUUAAAGAACUUUCAGUUAGUGCUGAAAAUAUCUUGUAAAUGAGGAUGUAGAAUUAUAAAUAACGGGAAAAGAACCCUACUUUACAUGAAGGCCGCCUGUGUUCUUUUUCAUCUUUUAUUUUUUGGGUCCUAUUGAGGA